GGAGGAAAAGAAACCAACAGGGAUUGCCCCAGUAACGGCGAGUGAAGCGGCAACAGCUCAAAUUUGAAAUCYGGCUUCGGCCCGAGUUGUAAUUUGUAGAGGAUGCUUUUGGUGAGGUGCCUUCUGAGUUCCCUGGAACGGGACGCCACAGAGGGUGAGAGCCCCGUAUAGUUGGACACCGAGCCUCUGUAAAGCUCCUUCGACGAGUCGAGUAGUUUGGGAAUGCUGCUCAAAAUGGGAGGUAUAUCUCUUCUAAAGCUAAAUACUGGCCAGAGACCGAUAGCGCACAAGUAGAGUGAUCGAAAGAUGAAAAGCACUUUGAAAAGAGGGUUAAAUAGUACGUGAAAUUGUUGAAAGGGAAGCGCUUGUGACCAGACUUGUGCCGGGCUGAUCAUCCAGUGUUCUCACUGGUGCACUCUGCCCGGCUCAGGCCAGCGUCGGUUCUCGCAGGGGGAUAAAAGCGGCGGGAACGUGGCUCCUCCGGGAGUGUUAUAGCCCGCCGCUCAAUACCCUUGCGGGGACCGAGGUUCGCGCUCCGGCAUGGACGCUGGCAUAAUGGUCAUCAGCGGCCCGUCUUGAAACACGGACCAAGGAGUCGAGGUUUUGCGCGAGUGUUUGGGUGUCAAACCCGCACGCGUAAUGAAAGUGAACGUAGGUGAGAGCUUCGGCGCAUCAUCGACCGAUCCUGAUGUAUUCGGAUGGAUUUGAGUAAGAGCGUUAAGCCUCGGACCCGAAAGAUGGUGAACUAUGCCUGAAUAGGGUGAAGCCAGAGGAAACUCUGGUGGAGGCUCGCAGCGGUUCUGACGUGCAAAUCGAUCGUCAAAUUUGGGCAUGGGGCG
rnacentral:rRNA from 1 species